rnacentral:ncRNA from 1 species
UUCGAGCCGAGGGGCCUUGUGGAAACGCCAGGUUGGCGCUAAUCGGAAACGAUAGCAAGUGAGCCCGCAAUAUGUCGCGAUCUGACUGCGGCGUAAUGAAAAUACUGUGCCUAUCGCAAGGGGCACGUCAGAUAGUAGCAAA